GCGAUCAGGACCUCUAAUCGGAAA
rnacentral:rRNA from 1 species